GAUGAACGCUAGCGGCAGGCUUAAUACAUGCAAGUCGAACGGGAUUCGGGGUAGCAAUACUUUGAUGAGAGUGGCGCACGGGUGCGUAACGCGUAUGCAACCUACCUUUAACAGGGGAAUAGCCCCGAGAAAUCGGGAUUAAUACUCCGUAACAUUGCGGUGUGGCAUCACACUGCACUUAAAGCUGAGGCGGUUAAAGAUGGGCAUGCGUGACAUUAGCUAGUUGGUGAGGUAACGGCUCACCAAGGCAACGAUGUCUAGGGGUCCUGAGAGGGUUAUCCCCCACACUGGUACUGAGACACGGACCAGACUCCUACGGGAGGCAGCAGUAAGGAAUAUUGGUCAAUGGGCGCAAGCCUGAACCAGCCAUGCCGCGUGCAGGAAGACGGCCCUAUGGGUUGUAAACUGCUUUUGUCAGGGAAUAAACCCCCGCUCGUGAGCGGGGCUGAAGGUACCUGAAGAAUAAGCAUCGGCUAACUCCGUGCCAGCAGCCGC
rnacentral:rRNA from 1 species